rnacentral:rRNA from 1 species
AGCGAACGCUGGCGGCAGGCUUAACACAUGCAAGUCGAGCGGGCAUCCUUGUGGUGUCAGCGGCAGACGGGUGAGUAACGCGUGGGAACGUGCCCUUCGGUUCGGAAUAACUCAGGGAAACUUGAGCUAAUACCGGAUACGUGCGAGAGCAGAAAGGUUUAUCUGCCGAAGGAUCGGCCCGCGUCUGAUUAGCUAGUUGGUGGGGUUACGGCUCACCAAGGCGACGAUCAGUAGCUGGUCUGAGAGGAUGAUCAGCCACACUGGGACUGAGACACGGCCCAGACUCCUACGGGAGGCAGCAGUGGGGAAUAUUGGACAAUGGGGGCAACCCUGAUCCAGCCAUGCCGCGUGAGUGAUGACGGCCUUAGGGUUGUAAAGCUCUUUUCUCCGGGACGAUAAUGACGGUACCGGAGGAAUAAGCCCCGGCUAACUUCGUG